rnacentral:rRNA from 1 species
AACGCGAAGAACCUUACCAGGGUUUGACAUGCAAUCGCACCGCCGAGAGAUCGGCGUACCUGCAAGGGACGGUUGCACAGGUGCUGCAUGGCUGUCGUCAGUUCGUGUCGUGAGAUGUUGGGUUAAGUCCCGCAACGAGCGCAACCCCUGUCGUCGGUUACAAGUGUCCGGCGAAACUGCCAAUCAAAAUGGAGGAAGGAGGGGAUGACGUCAAGUCAGCACGGCCCUUACGUCCUGGGCGACACACACGCUACAAUGGCCGGUACAAAGGGUGGCCAACCCGCGAGGGGGAGCUAAUCCCGCCAAAAUCGGUCUCAGUUCAGAUUGUAGGCUGCAACCCGCCUGCAUGAAGUUGGAGUUGCUAGUAACCGUAGGUCAGCACACUACGGUGAAUACGUUCCCGGGUCUUGUACACACCG